rnacentral:rRNA from 1 species
GUCGCAAGACCAAAGUGGGGGACCUUCGGGCCUCAUGCCAUCAGAUGUGCCCAGAUGGGAUUAGCUAGUAGGUGGGGUAACGGCUCACCUAGGCGACGAUCCCUAGCUGGUCUGAGAGGAUGACCAGCCACACUGGAACUGAGACACGGUCCAGACUCCUACGGGAGGCAGCAGUGGGGAAUAUUGCACAAUGGGCGCAAGCCUGAUGC